UNUGACUUGAGUGCAGAAGGGGAGAGUGGAAUUCCAUGUGUAGCGGUGAGAUGCGUAGAUAUAUGGAGGAACACCAGUGGCGAAAGCGGCUCUCUGGUCUGUCACUGACGCUGAGGCUCGAAAGCGUGGGUAGCGAACAGGAUUAGAUACCCUGGUAGUCCACGCCGUAAACGAUGAGUGCUAGGUGUUAGGCCCUUUCCGGGGCUUAGUGCCGGAGCUAACGCAAUAAGCACUCCGCCUGGGGAGUACGACCGCAAGGUUGAAACUCAAAGGGAUUGACGGGGGCCCGCACAAGCGGUGGAGCAUGUGGUUUAAUUCGAAGCAACGCGAAGAACCUUACCAGGUCUUGACAUCCCGAUGCUAUUCUUAGAGAUAGGAAGUUACUUCGGUACAUCGGAGACAGGUGGUGCAUGGUUGUCGUCAGCUCGUGUCGUGAGAUGUUGGGUUAAGUCCCGCAACGAGCGCAACCCUUAUUGUUAGUUGCCAUCAUUAAGUUGGGCACUCUAGCGAGACUGCCGGUAAUAAACCGGAGGAAGGUGGGGAUGACGUCAAAUCAUCAUGCCCCUUAUGACCUGGGCUACACACGUGCUACAAUGGUCGGUACAACGAGUUGCGAGCCGGUGACGGCAAGCUAAUCUCUGAAAGCCGAUCUCAGUUCGGAUUGGAGGCUGCAACUCGCCUCCAUGAAGUCGGAAUCGCUAGUAAUCGCGGAUCAGCACGCCGCGGUGAAUACGUUCCCGGGCCUUGUACACACCGCCCGUCACACCACGAGAGUUUGUAACACCCGAAGUCGGUGAGGUAACCUUUU
rnacentral:rRNA from 1 species